rnacentral:rRNA from 1 species
AACGAACGCUGGCGGCAUGCCUAACACAUGCAAGUCGAACGGGAUCCUGGUUUCGGCCAGGUGAGAGUGGCGGACGGGUGAGUAACGCGUGGGAACCUGCCCAGUGGUGGGGGAUAACUGCGGGAAACUGCAGCUAAUACCGCAUGAGCCCGCAAGGGGAAAGAUUGAUCGCCAUUGGAGGGGCCCGCGUUCGAUUAGGUAGUUGGUGAGGUAACGGCUCACCAAGCCUACGAUCGAUAGCUGGUCUGAGAGGAUGAUCAGCCACACUGGGACUGAGAUACGGCCCAGACUCCUACGGGAGGCAGCAGUGGGGAAUCUUGCGCAAUGGGCGAAAGCCUGACGCAGCGACGCCGCGUGAGGGAUGACGGCCU